UAAACUUUGAGCCUUGAUAAAAACCUUUGUCUUGGCUUCGUUCUUUCAUCGUAUUCCUUUUUUAUUUCCAGCCUUCCUUUCAGGUACCAAUUUCAUCCAUGGCCAUUGGAGGGCUACAAGUGGUGCCCAAAUGAGAGGACUGAAAACGGGGUUGGUGUGGAGUGGGUGGAGCCCACUGAGAAACGCUGUCUUAGGUGGAGCUCCACAGAGAACAGAAAAAAGUUACAGUAUCCUGCAUGAGUUGUUGCCUGGAAGCAAAAGGUAGCAAGUGCUCGAGGAUAAUCCCCACUCUGUAUUCUGAGAGUCUGUGUGAGCAAAGGAGGAAGAUGGCUCUUCAGGCCAAAAGCCCAAAUAAAUCUACAGCAACUUUUGCCUGCAAGACUCAGACAUUUAUUAUGUGAUACUAUCUUAAAUUUUGUUUUACAAAUCUGUUCCUGGA
rnacentral:lncRNA from 1 species